rnacentral:rRNA from 1 species
UACGUAGGGUGCAAGCGUUGUCCAGAAUUAUUGGGCGUAAAGAGCUCGUAGGCGGUCUGUCGCGUCGGCUGUGAAAACCCGAGGCUCAACCUCGGGCCUGCAGUCGAUACGGGCAGACUAGAGUUCGGCAGGGGAGACUGGAAUUCCUGGUGUAGCGGUGAAAUGCGCAGAUAUCAGGAGGAACACCGGUGGCGAAGGCGGGUCUCUGGGCCGAUAUUGACGCUGAGGAGCGAAAGCGUGGGGAGCGAACAGG